rnacentral:rRNA from 1 species
GACGAACGCUGGCGGCGUGCCUAAUACAUGCAAGUCGAGCGGAUGAUGAAGAAGCUUGCUUCUUCUGAUUUUAGCGGCGGACGGGUGAGUAACACGUGGGCAACCUACCUUGUAGAUUGGGAUAACUCCGGGAAACCGGGGCUAAUACCGAAUAAUCCAUUUUGCUUCAUGGCGAGAUGUUGAAAGACGGUUUCGGCUGUCACUACAAGAUGGGCCCGCGGCGCAUUAGCUAGUUGGUAGGGUAAUGGCCUACCAAGGCGACGAUGCGUAGCCGACCUGAGAGGGUGAUCGGCCACACUGGGACUGAGACACGGCCCAGACUCCUACGGGAGGCAGCAGUGGGGAAUAUUGGACAAUGGGGGAAACCCUGAUCCAGCCAUGCCGCGUGAGUGAAGAAGGUUUUCGGAUCGUAAAACUCUGUUGUAAGGGAAGAACACGUACGAGAGUAACUGCUCGUACCUUGACGGUACCUUAUUAGAAAGCCACGGCUAACUACGUG